UUGCUCUUCAACGAGGAAUGCCUAGUAAGCGCAUGUCAUCAGCAUGCGUUGAUUACGUCCCUGCCCUUUGUACACACCGCCCGUCGCUACUACCGAUUGAAUGGCUCAGUGAGGCCUUCGGACUGGCUCGGAGAGGUUGGCAACGACCACUCCGAGCCGGAAAGUUCGUCAAACUCGGUCAUUUAGAGGAAGUAAAAGUCGUAACAAGGUUUCCGUAGGUGAACCUGCGGAAGGAUCAUUACCUAGAGUUGUAGGCUUUGCCUGCUAUCUCUUACCCAUGUCUUUUAAGUACCUUACGUUUCCUCGGCGGGUCCGCCCGCCGAUUGGACAAUUUAAACCAUUUGCAGUUGCAAUCAGCGUCUGAAAAAACUUAAUAGUUACAACUUUCAACAACGGAUCUCUUGGUUCUGGCAUCGAUGAAGAACGCAGCGAAAUGCGAUAAGUAGUGUGAAUUGCAGAAUUCAGUGAAUCAUCGAAUCUUUGAACGCACAUUGCGCCCCUUGGUAUUCCAUGGGGCAUGCCUGUUCGAGCGUCAUUUGUACAAUCAAGCACUGCUUGGUGUUGGGCGUUUGUCUCGCAAGGGACUCGCCUCAAAGUCAUUGGCGGCCAACGCAGUCGUGGCAGAGCGCAGCACAAUCUUGCGUCUCUCCCUUCAGUGUCGGCGUCCAUCAAGCCUACAAUUUUCACGCUUGACCCCGGAUCAGGUAGGGACACCCGCUGAACGUAAGCAUAUCAAUAAGCGGAGGA
rnacentral:rRNA from 1 species